UAGCAGCACGUCAUGGUUUGUAAAGAGGCGGAGGCAGUUGCAGGCCUGGCGCUGCUGCCUCG
rnacentral:pre_miRNA from 1 species